rnacentral:rRNA from 1 species
AGAGUUUGAUCCUGGCUCAGAUUGAACGCUGGCGGCAGGCCUAACACAUGCAAGUCGAACGGUAACAUUUCUAGCUUGCUAGAAGAUGACGAGUGGCGGACGGGUGAGUAAUGCUUGGGAACUUGCCUUUGCGAGGGGAAUAACAGUUGGAAACGACUGCUAAUACCGCAUAAUGUCUUCGGACCAAACGGGGCUUCGGCUCCGGCGCAAAGAGAGGCCCAAGUGAGAUUAGCUAGUUGGUAAGGUAACGGCUUACCAAGGCGACGAUCUCUAGCUGUUCUGAGAGGAAGAUCAGCCACACUGGGACUGAGACACGGCCCAGACUCCUACGGGAGGCAGCAGUGGGGAAUAUUGCACAAUGGGGGAAACCCUGAUGCAGCCAUGCCGCGUGUGUGAAGAAGGCCUUCGGGUUGUAAAGCACUUUCAGUUGUGAGGAAAAGUUAGUAGUUAAUACCUGCUAGCCGUGACGUUAACAACAGAAGAAGCACCGGCUAACUCCGUGCCAGCAGCCGCGGUAAUACGGAGGGUGCGAGCGUUAAUCGGAAUUACUGGGCGUAAAGCGCACGC